CCGCUCUUCUAACAACUUAAUCUGCCCGGGGCCCUAGCUACUGGCCAAGGAGGAGGUACAAAAGCACUGACAUGCACAGUCUGGAAAAGAAAGCCAAGGAACUCACUGUCCUAUCAGCAUUUCCUUUGUCCAAGUCAGAUGCAUACAACAGGCUCCCUUUGCAACCGCUCACUGGCCACGGAUUCCCCGUGAUCGAGGAGCUUGGAACUAAAUCAUUCCCAAUGCUCUUGUACAUUUUAAAUGUUCCCCAGUAUUCCUUCUUAAGGAUAUAAAGUGAAAGAUCUAGAAAGUGAAGGAUCUGACGCUGCUACUUAUUGUCUCUGUGGCCUUGAAAAAAUCUCACUUAACCUCCCUGGGCCUCCGUGUACUGGUCUGUAAAAUGGGCACAAUAACCACAUGAGAAAUGUGAAGGACGUCUUCUGUACAUUAGCUGACCCACAUUAAGUACUCGGAAUAUGGACCCGGCUAGGAUGUGGCUUUCUGGCUUCCCUCCCCCCUUCCCCAGCCUUUGCAGCGAGGUGUCACCAUUGGACGCUGCUCUCGCCAGGCUGGGAGCGGAAGUGAGGGGAUGUUGGCAAACAAGACCGAACAUGGCUGGAGGACCAGAAAUCAUGAGGAAUGUGCAGAACAGCUGAAGAAAGGAUGCGCAGAUGGAAGGUACAAAGUCCGAGCGGUUCCCGACGAGGGAUGCUCCAGAAGCGGACCCCGAGGACGCCCAAGGCCCAGAGCCGGUGUGGGCUGCAAGCAGGACGACUGGCCGGCAUUCUGGGAACUGAGCGGCCAGGUGAGUCCUCCCACCCCAGGUCCACACCAAGCACCGGGGAGCCCAGGCAUCCACCUCCAGGAAGGAGUCACGAGGGCAGGGACCUGGACCAGAAAGUUGAGGCAGUGAGGAGGCAAACACCCAGAAAACCAGAAACCAAUGCACCUCUCUCGUCACAGCAUCCCUGGGUCCCUUACAGGGAUGUGAGGAAGC